GAUGAAGAACGUAGCGAAAUGCGAUAAGUAGUGUGAAUUGCAGAAUUCAGUGAAUCAUCGAAUCUUUGAACGCACAUUGCGCCCCUUGGUAUUCCAUGGGGCAUGCCUGUUCGAGCGUCAUUUGUACCUUCAAGCUUUGCUAGGUGUUGGGUGUUUGUCCUGAGGGACUCGCCUUAAAGUAAUUGGCAGCCAGUGUUUGGUUUUGAAGCGCAGCACAAGUCGCGAUUCAAAGCUAUACGCCCGCUUCCACAAGCCUUUUUCACUUUUGACCUCGGAUCAGGUAGGGAUACCCGCUGAACUUAGGCAUAUCAAUAAGCGGAGGA
rnacentral:misc_RNA from 1 species